GACGAACGCUGGCGGCGUGCCUAAUACAUGCAAGUAGAACGCUGAAGGCGGAGCUUGCUUCUCUGGAUGAGUUGCGAACGGGUGAGUAACGCGUAGGUAACCUGCCUGGUAGCGGGGGAUAACUAUUGGAAACGAUAGCUAAUACCGCAUAAUAGUAGAUGUUGCAUGACAUUUGCUUAAAAGGUGCAAUUGCAUCACUACCAGAUGGACCUGCGUUGUAUUAGCUAGUUGGUGAGGUAACGGCUCACCAAGGCAACGAUACAUAGCCGACCUGAGAGGGGGAUCGGCCACACUGGGACUGAGACACGGCCCAGACUCCUACGGGAGGCAGCAGUAGGGAAUCUUCGGCAAUGGACGGAAGUCUGACCGAGCAACGCCGCGGGAGUGAAGAAGGUUUUCGGAUCGUAAAGCUCUGUUGUAAGAGAAGAACGAGUGUGAGAGUGGAAAGUUCACACUGUGACGGUAUCUUACCAGAAAGGGACGGCUAACUACGUG
rnacentral:rRNA from 1 species